UCUGCUGACUGACACCAAUGGGGCGAAUAGGCAGUGGAAGGGGUCUCUCUAUUUUCCUAAGCUGUCUAAAUCAGUUCGGUGUUUGAGGCGUGGUGGUGUGUUUCCUGGGAACUUCCUUUCUUUCUGUUACCCUCCUGAGAAAAGCAGCUGAUCCCUUUGGAGUUUGCAAAGGAAGAUGCGCCCCACAGAGUUAAUGUUGUGUGCACUACAUGGGGAAAAGGUAUGUUUAACAAAAGGUGAGAAGUUAUGGAUCAAAUAAUGCUGUGGAAGCUACUCUCACAAACAAUGAAGAUCAUUCUGGAUGCACUCCAAAUAUCGUUACUAUUGCUUAAUUUCAACUCCAGUGCUGCAUCUGCUUAAGAUAGUGUCAAAGAUGAUAAUCUCACCAGACAGAUACAAAGCACGAAACUGAAAUGAUGUUGCUCCAUUAUUUUAUUUAGUAGUGGUGUGAAACUCCUGGGUUUGUGUGAAUCAUGCAGGAGAGCUGUGAUUUUUACCUUUAAACUCCCCUGAAAAUGCAGCAGUUUAGCAUCGGCACCUGUUCCUUUCCAGAUUACGCCACAUGAAUGAGUUUGGUCGGAGUCACCAUGGUGAGGAAAAGAUAAUGGAAUUUCAGGUAAGAGUCAAUAUGAAUGAAAUAUAAACUGUUUUCUGAGCUGACCCAGCAUCCAGCUCCUCUCAUUCAUACAGCUGUAGCUUCCAGGCAAUUCUCAGUUCUGGAAGGGUUACAAGUGUUCUUCUGUGCUUCAGAGAGAAGGAAGAUGGAAUCAAGGUGUGACAUACAAGAGUGUGGAUAAGAGACUGCCUUUUUUCAGUCAAAGUUCACCUGAAAAAGGUCAUCCCAGUAGAAGAUUAAAACACUGACACAAGCUUGUGGUCAGGAUCCACACACCAUGGAGUGUGUGGAGGGGUGAGCUAAGGAUGCUGAGGUUAAGUCCAGCCUGAAGAAGUUUUUUCUCAUUUCUCUGAGCAAUCAGCAUCAUUGGAAGGAAAUAGCUGCUAAAAUAAAGGGCUCAUUCCUCGUAUAUGCAUCUUUUAUAUAUUAACUUGCUAGUAAAUGUUUACAAGUCCAUCAUUCCUCCCAUCAUUAUGUGACAGAAGGAACAUCUUUUAUUAAAAACAAAGAGAGAUACUGUGGGGAUUGGCACAUCUGUUUUUAUUCCUUAUGCUCAGGCAAACUCUUCAGCCUCAGAGAAAAGGUCUUUGACCCUGGCCUAAAAUACUGUCCAGUGCUUAUGGGGUGUAGUAAUAUGAAAAUCAUCAGACCUGUCCUUGGCAGUAUGUUUCUUUCCAUUAGUUGAUUAAAAUGGUUUAUUGUUGCCUACAGCACUGUUGCUUUGUAUGUAUUUUUGUUACACAGAGCAGAUGUGCCCAGGUCCUGCACUGCUUCUCUUUGUGCGGUUUUUGAUGAAUACAGAAGUGAAAUCACUACCUGGGCAGAUCCCCCUCCCCGGGAAGAGGGAAAGAAGGGAAAGAUGAGGGGCUCAGUGGUGGAGCUGGGGUACCGGCUGCAUGGGGAUCAGCAGGGGAAGGCUGCACUCUUGUUGCAUCAGGAUGAAAACCUUCCCUAUCCUUCUGCUAUUACAAAGAAAACAGGAAAAGUCCAAGUCUUCAGGGAGAAUCUGAUGUUUCUUUGUUUUCUUGUUCUUGCUUGAUGGGGGAGCUGGAAUCUCAAUACAAAUGCUAUUUCCAAGUCCAGAUUCAUUUCAAGCAGUGGCUUUGACACAAGUACCUUUCCAUCCCCCCCCCAGCACAGGUUUUUCUAAGGCAUGUUGUCAUGUAAUAGUAAUAUGAUCUUUCAUUACAGAGUCACAAAUCAUUGGGCAUGUGAUCUUAUGCUCAAUAAAUAUUUAUUUGAGAAUGAUAGGUUAAUUAAUUUCCAUUGUUUCUGGUUUAAUUCUAUACAUGCUUAUACUAUACAAUUAGAGAAAAACACAGAGAACCAGGAGUAAAUGCUACUCAUGCAAAAUGUUUCUAUUAUCCUUUACUUUUAAAACCAUUAAUAGAUUAUUAUGAGAUAUAAACAUAGGAGACCAUGGAUCAUAUUUGCAUGUUAAUGAAAUCCAUGAAUUAUACAUUAUUUGCUGUGGAGAGUACUAGAAACAGUAUUCCUCCUUUCUAAUAGCAAUAAAAGCUGGCGGUUUCCUGGAGCACACAUCACAUCCCCUCUGCAAUACCUUCUAAUAGAAAAGAAAGAAAUCCAGCUCUUCAAAGCAAUCUCUCUCUAAAUGAAAUAGAUUUGUUUGUGUUGCUUUGCAACACACCAAUGUGACAGUUCAUUUUUAAACAAAAUAGUUUUAAUAAUGUCAUUACUAAUAUCUAUUUGGUCAUCUCACUGAAAAAUGGUCUUUUAAUAGGAAUGUUUCAUUUUAAUAAAUGGCAGAAGAGGCAAGCUCUGCCCUGAGUCAGCAGGAAGUGGAUAUACACCAGAGAACAGGCUGAUUGUGUUAGAUUCAUCCAGAACAUUGAACAGCACACAGACAGUCCAAGAAAAAGCAACUGCCUUUAUUCAAAUGAUUAGUUUUACUGCUACGCUGUAGCACAGAUUCACACAUUCUUCUAUUAUUCCUUGACCUUGUGCCAAAACCUCCCACUUGAAGUAAUAAUUAGAAUUAGUGUUUCCAGUGCAUGCUUCCAUCUUCCUCACAAACAGUAAUGAAAUGUGGCUUUUACAAAAUAUGCAGUUAAUUAAACUGGUUUUUGGAGCAUUGUUUGAUUAAUACAGUUCCCCUCUGCGAGCCCCUCAUUAUGCCCAGCUACCUCUACCUGAUACUGGUGAGACGGAAGAAAACCACCACUGAUGGGAUGAGGGAAAGUUCAGAAAUAUGCACUUUAAAAUUGCUUGUGGGGUUGGUUUGGUGGGUUUUUUUCCUUCUUGUUUUGUCUCUGUCAGGGAAUAAACUGGAAAAUUGGUCAUUAUUUGUAAUCCUGUCUUUUAAGCUGAGGACAGUAUGUGUAUUCUCUCCAAAUACCCUCAGCAUGAAUAUGUAGAGCACAUAUAUCAAGUGAUACGAGGUAAUAAGUGGAUUUGGAGGCAGGAUUCUUGCAAAGGUGGCUCAGCAUUGUAUUGCUUAAUAACACCAUGCAAAUAGAAACUCGGAUUUCAUUUUUUCUUUAUUAUUAUUUCAUGCUUUUUUACUGUCUCCCUUAAUUAUCCCAAUGCUGAACAAGUGCAGUCUUUUGAUUGAUGAGAGUUCCACCCCUUUACCCACACCCCUGACAGAUAUGAGGCUCCACAGUUUAGUACCAUAAAUCACUGUGAUUGUAUAACUUAACUACUGUAUGAUCAGGAGAUCACACACAGCGUUAGCCUGAAUAUGCAUUCAUCCUUCGUUAUGGAUGUUUUAGGGCUGAAUUUAUUUGGGAUGUUUGGAGCAAUAAGACAUUUCUGCACAGAAGAAAGCAAUGCAUUUUAAAUAAGCAAUUCUUUCAACAACUGGAAAUAAUCAGAAAAGUCUUCUAUUUGCAAUCUUCAUUAAUGUGAGUUAUGUCAUCACUUUAGGAGAAAUCCUCUCUGAGAAAAACAACAAUUCAGCCCCUUCCCUUCCCUCCCCCAGGUUCUGACAGCUAAAAAUCUAUGGAUCAGCCAGUUUAGUAAUUAACCACAAUUCCUCUGAUUUGUGAAUUUCCAGAUGAUGAGGCAGGAAGCAAGUUAUAUCUCGGAGAAAUUGCCCUCAGGAGAGAGGAAAAAACUACUGCGAGGUUGACAGCACAACCUUGUACUAGCGCAGUUUCCCUUCCCUAGUGGUUCAAGGAGUUCCAAGCACCCUCCUGUAAAUCAUCAGCUCACAUCUAUUUAUUAUCUUCCAGCCCAGUGCACAACACUAUCUGUUACACACGGAUACCAGCAAUAUUACAAGGUGGACUCAAGGGAUAAGAGACAGCAAACCCUGCACACCUCCUGUGCCUGAGUCACACUGGUAUGAAGGCAGGUUCUGUUCAUAAAGUACAUGCUUUUGCCAGAAAUGAGACAGUAUGAACUGUUAUGUUUCAGAGUAAUAUUUUUUUUUAGUGUUUCUCAGCAUCUUAUCAGCUGGUAUCGUUGUGUUAUUACAGAGACAAAAUUUACCUGUGUAGCAAUGGACAAAAUGUCUGUGAACAUAUUGCUAUUCAUUCAAUGAUGGCUGUUGUAUUUGGAGUAGGCACCAGCUACACUCUGUGAUGCUUGUCCUGGAAUACCAAUAAAUAAAUCAUAAAAGCCAA